UAGGGAAUCUUCCACAAUGGACGAAAGUNUGAUGGAGCAACGCCGCGUGAGCGAUGAAGGCCUUCGGGUCGUAAAGCUCUGUUGUUAGGGAAGAACAAGUANCGGAGUAACUGCCGGUACCUUGACGGUACCUAACCAGAAAGCCACGGCUAANUACGUGCCAGCAGCCGCGGUAAUACGUAGGUGGCAAGCGUUGUCCGGAAUUAUUGGGNGUAAAGCGCGCGCAGGCGGUCCUUUAAGUCUGAUGUGAAAGCCCACGGCUCAACCGUGGAGGGUCAUUGGAAACUGGGGGACUUGAGUGCAGAAGAGGAAAGNGGAAUUCCACGUGUAGCGGUGAAAUGCGUAGAGAUGUGGAGGAACACCAGUGGCGAAGGCGGCUUUCUGGUCUGUAACUGACGCUGAGGCGCGAAAGCGUGGGGAGCAAACAGGAUUAGAUACCCUGGUAGUCCACGCCGUAAACGAUGAGUGCUAAGUGUUAGAGGGUUUCCGCCCUUUAGUGCUGCAGCUAACGCAUUAAGCACUCCGCCU
rnacentral:rRNA from 1 species